UUAAGUUCACUCAACAAUCUUGUCUUCACCUUAAUUGUGUUGUUAAGAAAAACAUGGCAUCAUCCUCCAAGACUUUUCUUCUUCUUGGCUUUAUGUUUGCUCUUGUGAUCCUCAUCUCCUCAGAGGUCUCAGCUCGUGAGCUAGCGGAAAUUACUAAGCCAGCAAUUCCUAUUAGGGCUAAUACCUAUCCCUUUAAAGACCGAACAAGUACGCCAACUGUCAAAUGCAGUCCGUAUAAUAAAACAUGUACCCUGACCCCGCCCCAUAAAUGCAAUCCGUAUAUUAGAACAUGUCCCCCCGCCCCACGGCCAAGGGCACCAUGAAAAACCAGGACCUGGUGUUGCUGAGACUGAAAUUGGGAAUUAAAUAGAUAACCCUUUUUCAGUGGAUAUUGCAGGUACUAUGUGGUAAUAUAAUAAGGGUUUGUUUUAUCAAUGAUAUAACGGUUAAUGUAAUGUAUUGGUUGAGUUGUUAAUAAAACUCUCAAUCAUAAUUAAUUAGGAUUUUAAGGUUUAUCUUUGUACUAGUACUCAUGUCUAAGAUAUGUGGCUUUCUAUCUUUAUAUAUACGUUUGAAAUCUAUCCUAGUAAUUUCUUUUUCCAUAA